AAGUCGUAACAAGGUUUCCGUAGGUGAACCUGCGGAAGGAUCAUUAAAGAAUUCGGCUUCGCGGCCAAGUUCUCACCCUUUGUAUACCGAAACCAUGUUUGCAUUGGCCAGGCCCAUUGCAUUCGUCCGGGCCUGCAGAUGUUAAUCAACCUAGAAUCUCUGCUGUCUGAGUACUAUACAAUAGUUAAAA
rnacentral:misc_RNA from 1 species